rnacentral:rRNA from 1 species
GACGAACGCUGGCGGCGUGCCUAAUACAUGCAGGUAGAACGCACAGUUUAUACCGUAGCUUGCUACACCAUAAACUGUGAGUUGCGAACGGGUGAGUAACGCGUAGGUAACCUGCCUGGUAGCGGAGGAUAACUAUUGGAAACGAUAGCUAAUACCGCAUAAUAUUGAUUAUUGCAUGAUAAUUGAUUGAAAGAUGCUAUUGCAUCACUACCAGAUGGACCUGCGUUGUAUUAGCUAGUAGGUGAGGUAACGGCUCACCUAGGCGACGAUACAUAGCCGACCUGAGAGGGUGAUCGGCCACACUGGGACUGAGACACGGCCCAGACUCCUACGGGAGGCAGCAGUAGGGAAUCUUCGGCAAUGGACGAAAGUCUGACCGAGCAACGCCGCGUGAGUGAAGAAGGUUUUCGGAUCGUAAAGCUCUGUUGUAAGAGAAGAACGGGUGUGAGAGUGGAAAGUUCACACUGUGACGGUAUCUUACCAGAAAGGGACGGCUAACUACGUG